GAUGAACGCUGGCGGCGUGCCUAAUACAUGCAAGUCGAGCGAACGGACGAGAAGCUUGCUUCUCUGAUGUUAGCGGCGGACGGGUGAGUAACACGUGGAUAACCUACCUAUAAGACUGGGAUAACUUCGGGAAACCGGAGCUAAUACCGGAUAAUAUUUUGAACCGCAUGGUUCAAAAGUGAAAGACGGUCUUGCUGUCACUUAUAGAUGGAUCCGCGCUGCAUUAGCUAGUUGGUAAGGUAACGGCUUACCAAGGCAACGAUGCAUAGCCGACCUGAGAGGGUGAUCGGCCACACUGGAACUGAGACACGGUCCAGACUCCUACGGGAGGCAGCAGUAGGGAAUCUUCCGCAAUGGGCGAAAGCCUGACGGAGCAACGCCGCGUGAGUGAUGAAGGUCUUCGGAUCGUAAAACUCUGUUAUUGGGGAAGAACAUAUGUGUAAGUAACUGUGCACAUCUUGACGGUACCUAAUCAGAAAGCCACGGCUAACUACGUGCCAGCAGCCGCGGUAAUACGUAGGUGGCAAGCGUUAUCCGGAAUUAUUGGGCGUAAAGCGCGCGUAGGCGGUUUUUUAAGUCUGAUGUGAAAGCCCACGGCUCAACCGUGGAGGGUCAUUGGAAACCGGAAAACUUGAGUGCAGAAGAGGAAAGUGGAAUUCCAUGUGUAGCGGUGAAAUGCGCAGAGAUAUGGAGGAACACCAGUGGCGAAGGCGACUUUCUGGUCUGUAACUGACGCUGAUGUGCGAAAGCGUGGGGAUCAAACAGGAUUAGAUACCCUGGUAGUCCACGCCGUAAACGAUGAGUGCUAAGUGUUAGGGGGUUUCCGCCCCUUAGUGCUGCAGCUAACGCAUUAAGCACUCCGCCUGGGGAGUACGACCGCAAGGUUGAAACUCAAAGGAAUUGACGGGGACCCGCACAAGCGGUGGAGCAUGUGGUUUAAUUCGAAGCAACGCGAAGAACCUUACCAAAUCUUGACAUCCUUUGACAACUCUAGAGAUAGAGCCUUCCCCUUCGGGGGGCAAAGUGACAGGUGGUGCAUGGUUGUCGUCAGCUCGUGUCGUGAGAUGUUGGGUUAAGUCCCGCAACGAGCGCAACCCUUAAGCUUAGUUGCCAUCAUUAAGUUGGGCACUCUAAGUUGACUGCCGGUGACAAACCGGAGGAAGGUGGGGAUGACGUCAAAUCAUCAUGCCCCUUAUGAUUUGGGCUACACACGUGCUACAAUGGACAAUACAAAGGGCAGCGAAACCGCGAGGUCAAGCAAAUCCCAUAAAGUUGUUCUCAGUUCGGGUUGUAGUCUGCAACUCGACUACAUGAAGCUGGAAUCGCUAGUAAUCGUAGAUCAGCAUGCUACGGUGAAUACGUUCCCGGGUCU
rnacentral:rRNA from 1 species